GUGAGACUGUGAAUUCUUCAAAAGCAGGUACUGUGUUUAAUGAAGUGUGCCCAGGACUUUGCUCAGUGACUGGAUGACACAGUAGGAGUAACAAGAAAGUUCACAUGGGUGAACCGUGGUAGGUGGACAUCGUCUCUCUCACCUCUUCCCAAAUCAAGGAUGAAGUACAUCUUCAUAAAUCCUCAUGUGAAUUAUUUUGCUACCUCUAGAAGCAUUUUCUAAAACAAGGUGCAGCAAUCAGUUGAGUGAAUUUGUCACCAGAGCUUAUGUUUUCUGAAAGAACCCUAUCCUCAGGCAGUUGUUCCUAAGAGGACCCCACUGGAAAUCGGACUGUUCAACUCACCUGGCAGCCACUCACAGAGCCCGUGGAACUCUGGCCCAAGGCUCUCUGACUCCUUCUCGGCUUAGCGGCUAAAGACUGACACUGCCCGAUCGCCUCGGAAGCCCCGUAGACCAUCACGGACGCCGAGCUUUAGGUAACUCUCACAGUGGAGGAUGAAGAAACUGAGGUCCAGAGAAGUUAAACGACCUUCCUAAGAUUACACAGCUUAGUAAGUGGCAGAACCACAGCUGGAAGCCAGGUCCUUCCUCACGCAAGUCCUGGCUCAUUCAUUCCUCUUCCAAAGACUUGCUGAGCACCUUCUAGGUGCCAGAUGCGGUGCUGGCUCCUGGGGACAUGGGAGUGAACAGGCCAGGCGUGGCCCUGAACCAUCAAAUAGACAACCACAGAAAUAACAACAACAAAGACAAAACCGGGCCCUUCCACACAGUAGCUGGAACACAAAGGAAGAUCAGCCAAGCCUCAACAUAAUCUCAUAAAAAUUCUUCAAAUAUCCCAUUGUUAUGGAUUCAUACAUCAGGAAAGCAGAUGCCAAGAACCUGAACACCUUCUACUGGUAACAUAUAUUUUGGCGAGCCAGCCUGGAGACAAGACCACUAUGGGCAACUUCCUGUCUAUUCUACCUGGUGUCACUGUGGACAACUUCCUAUCUAUUCCACCCGAUUCACCGCUUGGCUACAUCCUCCACCAUUGGGAUGAAUUUGACCCUAACAAUCUAAAGAAAAGGCAUAUGAUUUUUUACUGCAAUAUUGUUUGACACAAUUAUGAGCUGCCCAAUCCGGAACAAUGGGCAGUCAAUGGUAGCCUUAAUUAUGAUACCAUCCUGUAUCUAGACCUAUUUUACAAGAGGCAGGGCAAAUGGUCAGAAGUCCCACAUAUACAGGCCUACAUGACCCUAUACGAAGACCUAAGAAUCUAGGAAACUCCCAGAACCCAUCCCCCGAAGGAAAGUUCUGGGGCAGAACUAGAUAUUAUAGAUGAACCCCCUUUUACAAGGGAUACCUGUCUCUCAGAGUGAGCAGUGACUGUCCCCAUAUAACCCCUCACCAAGUGCUCCUGAGGCUGAAACCCAGGGGCAAACAUGGGGAACCCUACUAAGUCCCCCUCACACUUGGAGGGGAACACUGUAUUCAACUCUCUAUCCAGCCCUGCUACUCUCAGAGAAAUAGCAGGGGCUGAGGGGCCAAUCCUAGUGUGGGUCCCCUUCUCUAUGAUUGAUAUACAACAAUGUAAGGAAAAGCUAGGAAGCUAUUCUGAGGAUUCCGGGAAGUUUGCAGAUGGGUUCCAAACUUUGACCUUAGCCUUUGAUCUCUCAUGGAGAGACGUUCAAUUCACUCUAGCAACCUGUUGCACCUCCUCGGAAAAGGAACGAAUCUUUGAGGCUGCCCUCCGAGAAGUGGACGAAUUAUUCACCCAAAACCGUAAAGGCAGUCACCCAGGCCCAGCCACAGUUCCCACUACGCAUCCUAAUUGAGACCAAGACACCCCCGCAGGAAGGAACAACUGGGCUAAAUUUCUUGAGGCUCUUGGAGGAAUGAGAAAGGGAAUAACUAAGGCAGUAAAUUAUGAUAAAGUAAGGCAGAUUACACAAGGCAGGGAGGAAAACCCAGCUGUGUUUUACGGCAGGCUGCGGGAAGCCUUUAAAAAAUAUAUACUAAUUUGGUCCCUUCCUCUCCUGAAGGCAAGUUAUUAAUGGCACAACGUUUCAUUAGCCAAUCCACACCAGACAUUAGACGUAAGCUCCAAAAGCUACACAUGGGGCCACAAACUAACCAAAAUCAGCUUCUUGGUACUGCCUUCAUGGUGUAUAACAAUCGUGACCUGGAGGAAGGAGAAGGGAAACAGAGUAAAGAAAAACGGCAAGCCAAAAUUAUGUUAGCCAUCACUGGUGAUGCCCUAAAUGCACAAAGAUUGUCCAAGGGAAACUCAAAGGGCCAUAAGGAUAAUGCCAGCAAAGGCUCUUGCUUCAAAUGCAAUAAAAGUGCGAUUGGGCACAGGAAUCCACUAAGCCCCCGCCAGUCCCCUGCCGUCAAUGUAAAAGCACCAGUUGUGGCUCCUGGCCCUGGAGAAUUGACUGUCCCUGCUCCCACCAAGGGGCUCAGUCAGUCAAAACUCUGGCAGUGCACAAGGAGGAAUCAGAUGAAGACUGAAGGGGCCUGGGGCCUUCCUCACUGCCCCGUCUAGGAACAUUGUAAUUACUACUGAGGAACCCUGGGUAACUCUGGACAUCAUGGCCACCCAAAUUCAGUUUUUAUGUGAUACCAAGGUGAAUUAUUCUGUACAACUGCUUAUGCAGGAAAACUUUCCUCCCGGUCCAUGAGUGAUAUUGGAUGGAAGGGAAGCCACAAACAAGAUUCUUACUCCUCCUUUGGUUUGUCAAUUUGAGAAACAAAUCUUCCAACAGGAAUUUUUAGUAGUACCAAGCUGCCCAAUUCCCCUGUGGGAAAGAGAUAUUAUGGUGAAAAUAGUGACACUACUGCAAUUUAAGCAAUAUUAGCAGGUGAAACUGCUAAUAGUAAGAAAUAAGGCAAUGUCCCAGACCAUGUCAAUAAACAGGUUAACCCACUGGCAUGGUAUACUGGAAACCCAGGGAAGGCUAAAACAGCAGUGCCAGUCAAAAUACAGCUUAAAGACCCCAGCCAUUUUCCCAAUGGAAAACAAUACCCAGUUGAACAGGAAGCAAGCAAAGGUCUAGCUCCCAUAGUUGAGAUAUUACUUACCCAUGGACUCUUAAAACCCUGCAAUUCUCCCUGCAAUACCCCCAUCUUACCUGUUCUCAAGCCUGGGGGGAAUACCAGCUAGUACAGAACCUCAGAAUAAUGAAUGAGGCUGUUAUCCCCGUCCACCCAUUGGUGGCAGAUCCAUAUGCCCUCCUGGCUCAGGUGCCAGGGCAUGCAAAAUGGUUCUCAGUCCUAGACCUUUCUUCUCCAUUCCUCUGGCCCCGAGCCCCCCAGUACCUUUUUGCUUUCGAAUGGGAAAAUCCUAAUACCAGAUAAAAACAAUACACUUGGACAGUGCUUCCUCAGGGCUUUCGGGAUAGCCCCCACUUCUUUGCCUGAGCAUUAGAGCGGGAUCUGAGGGAUUUCAAGUUAGAAAAUGGAGGUAUUCUUCAGUAUGGGGAUGACCUUGUGUGUAGCCCAACCUAGGAGGUUUCUGACCAAAAUACUAUAAAAACUUUGAAUUUCCUGGCAGACAGAGGAUACAAAGUGUCCAAAAAGAAGGCUCAGAUUACCCUCCAAUGGGUCCACUAUUUAGGAUAUGUCUUAACACCCGGAACCCGGCAAAUAUCCCCAGAAGGAGUGCAAGCUAUAUGUGGUUUGGCCGCGUGCACCACCCCCAGCCCCCACCCUGACCCACCUCCAAGCAGCAGCUUUGUUCCUUUUUGGGGAUGGCCGGGCUUUGGAGAAUAUGAGUACCAAAUUUUGGGCUCAUAGCAAAGCCCCUAUAUGAAGCAACAAGGGGGCCUGAAAAUGAGCUAAUGGAAUGGACCCCGGAAAUGAGGAAAGCCUUUGCCAAGUUAAAACAGGUUCUCACCCAGGCUCCUGCUCUUGGUAUCCCAGACCUAAUUAAGGCCUUCUCCUUGUAUGUAGCAGAGAAGAGGGGCAUAGCUGUGGGAGUGCUAGCCCAGAAAUUAGGAUCAGAACCCAGACCAACCGCCUACUUCUCAAAAAAGUUGGACGGAGUGGCCUCAGGAUGGCCAAGUUGCCUGCGGGCAAUAGCAGCCACUGCUGUUAGUGGAGGAAGCCACUAAAAUCACCCUAGGGCAACCACUGGAAGUUCUAACGCUCCAUCAGGUAAAGUUAGUCUUAGAAAUAAAGGGACACAUCUGGAUGACAGGGGAAAUGUUAACUAAAUACCAGCCCAUGCUCCUAGACAAUCCAGAUAUAACUCUUAAAACCUGCAACACUUUAAAUCCAGCUUCAUUGCUGCCCACAGGCCCAAUAAUUGAUCAUUCCUGUGAGCAGGUCAUUGCACAUACAUAUGUUAGCCAGCCUGAUUUAAAAGAUGAGGCUCUCCCAGAUUCUGAAGCUGACCGGCUCACAGACGGCAGUAGUUCUUUGUCGAAUGGGGAGCACAGAGCUGGAUAUGCAGCAGUAAAUCAUGACACAAUUAUUGAAGCCCAGCCAGUGCCCCCUGGCACAUCAGCACAAAAGGCUAAAAUCAUUGAUCUUACUCAAGCAUUAAUGUUGGGACAAGGGAAAAAACUUAACAUCUAUACAGAUUCUAAAUAUGCAUUCCUUGUGGUUCAUGCUCAUACCGCCAUCAGGAAAGAAAGGGGAUUACUUACUAGCAAGCACUCCCCUAUAGAGCAUGGACCUGAAAUUCUGCAGCUAUUGAAGGCAAUACACCUGCCAAAGGCCAUAGCUAUCAUUCAUUGUAGGGGGCAUCAAAGGGACUUAACCCCUAUAGCACAAGGGAAUGGAAAGGCUGACGGAAGCCAAAGCAAAAGCCCUCAGCGUGCAAUCCCAACAGAUCCUAGCACUGCUUCCUUUCUACAAUUCCCCAGUAGAACCCAAAUACACACCACAGGAAGAACAGCUAAUAAAAAAAGCAAGGGAGACAAAAACAAGGAUCCUGGUGGCAUAUGGAGCCAAAAAUAUAUCUCCCUCAGGCAGCCCAGUGGAGAGUUAUAAAAGCCCUGCAUGACUCUUUCCAUGUGGGGAGGGAUGCGGCUCUGGCCAUGGUAAACAAGUUCUUUACUGGGUUUAACUCAGCUUCAAUGGCUAAGCAGGUCUGUCAAGCCUGCUCACUGUGUGCAUUUAACAAUCCAGGCAUCAAAAUGCCCCCUCUAAUAAAACCAGUCCAAAGGAGGGGAACUUAUCCAGGGGAAGACUGGCAGUUAGACGUCAUCCAUAUGCCAGCUUGCAGAGGAUACAAGCUUUUGUUAAUACUAAUAGAUACUUUUAGGUUGGGUCAAAGGUUACCCCAGAAAAGGCUAAUGAGGUUCUAAGGUCCUCUUAAAAGAAAUAAUUCCCCAGUUUGGGUUACCUCAGGGUCUCCAAAGUGAUAAUGGCUAAUCCUUUAUCUCCCAAAUAACUCAAGGGGUUGCUAAGGCUCUUGGAAUAAAAUACUAUUUACAUUCAGCCUGGAGGCCCCAAUCCUCUGGAAAAGUGGAAAGGGUUAACCAAACUCUAAAAUAAGCACUAGCUAAACUAUGUCAGGAAACAUCAGAAACUUGGGUUAGCUUAUUGCUCACAGCCCUUUUAAGAAUUUGUAAUACCCCUAGCUCAAAAAUUAACAGAAGCCCAUAUAAAAUGUUAUACAGAAGGCCAUUCUUAACUAAUGAUUUAAUUAUUGACCCAGAAAGAGUUGGUGUAAUUAAAUACCUAGUCAACCCAGAACAAUUCCAGCGGGUUUACAAGAGUUUGGAAUUCAAAGGCUCCUCACACUUGGAACUAACCAGCAACCCAAAAUCAGGCCAGGAGAUAGGGUACUUGUUAAAACAUGGAAUGAGGGAUCACCUGCCCAACAAUUACAACCCCAAUAGAAGGGACUUUUUUCAGUAAUACUGGCCACGUCUUCUGUGGUCAAAGUACUAGUAUUAGAUAGCUGGAUACAUCUUUCAAGGAUCAAACCAUCAAUACCAGAAGCUCCAGACCAGGAACCUGAAGUUCCCAUCAGCCAGUACACCUGUGAACCAGUGGAGGACCUGAAGUACCUGUUUAAAAGAUAGCCAAAAGAUAAGUAAAUGCCUACCAACUUUCUUUGGUGUCUUUGUUGCAUAGUUACUGUGGGCUGGAAAAUAGUAGCCAUUUUUAUCUUUGCAGUUUAAUUGCCUUCUUCCAAAUAGAUAAAAAUCACUUCCUUUGUAAUAAUUAAACAGAAUUUAAAAAAUACAUUUCUAUGACAAAUAUUCCUGAUGGCAUAAGUAUCCACCCCAAGGUUCCCAUUAAAUCUUUUAACCUAAAGUAUUUCCUCUCACCUAGAGAUCAUCGAGCUGUGUGACAAGGGUGCCAGCCACUCCAGGUGAAGACACCACCCCAGGCCAUCAAGGAUCUUCCCUACCUUCACUAAACAGAGCAGGGUGAAAGUUGUGUGAUCCCCAAUAGGUAGGGACUACACCCCAAGUCAGCAGGAAGCAGUUACAGAAGAAAGACCAUUGGUCCCUCUGCUUCCCAUAAAGAUUUAUGGGGAUCACAGCUUUCACGGGGGAGAUGAGGCAAGAGAAUAGGGCAUGCAGGCAGGGUACUUGAGGCCAAUCCACGCUGACUUCCUAGAACUGAAUUAAAUGAAAGCUCCUCAGCAAUGACAGGAAUGUGAAUGGCUUUGUAACUUCUUCCUCUCCAUUAAUGCUAUUUCCACUUUGUAACUUCACUUUCAUCCUCUCCAUUUACAUAGAUCACACACCAAGUAACAUCCUCUCCAUUUACAGUAGGGCGCAUUCCGAGUCAAUGACUCUGACUGCACUUCGUUCUCCUCAUUUACAUAGAACAUUCGCCAAGUAACCAAUGGGAAACCUCUAGAGUAUUGAAACUCCAGAAAAUUCCGUAAGUGGGGCUCUUGAGCGUCUACACUCGGGUCGCUCCCACACUGUGGCGUGUACUUUUAUUCUCAAUAAAUUCCCGCUUUUGCUUUCCUCGUUC
rnacentral:lncRNA from 1 species